rnacentral:rRNA from 1 species
GCCUAACACAUGCAAGUCGAGCGAGAAAAGGGGAGCAAUCCUCUGAGUAAAGCGGCGCACGGGUGAGUAACACGUGGGUAAUCUGCCCUGAAGUGGGGAAUAACACCGGGAAACCGGUGCUAAUACCGCAUAUGAUCACGGUGUCUGCGGACACAGGGAUGAAAGGAGCAAUUCGCUUCAGGAGGAGCCCGCGGCUGAUUAGCUAGUUGGUGAGGUAAUGGCUCACCAAGGCAACGAUCAGUAUCCGGUCUGAGAGGACGGUCGGACACACUGGAACUGAGACACGGUCCAGACUCCUACGGGAGGCAGCAGUGGGGAAUUUUUCGCAAUGGGGGCAACCCUGACGAAGCAACGCCGCGUGGAUGAUGAAGUAUCUCGGUACGUAAAAUCCUUUCGACAGGGAAGAAACCGCAAGGUUGACGGUACCUAUAGAAGAAGCCCCGGCUAACUCCGUGCCAGCAGCCGCGGUAAUACGGGGGGGGCUAGCGUUGUUCGGAAUUACUGGGCGUAAAGGGCGCGUAGGCGGUCUGCUAAGUUGGAUGUGAAAACUCUGGGCUUAACCCAGAGCCUGCAUUCAAUACUGACAGGCUAGAGUUCUGGAGGGGAUAGCGGAAUUCCUGGUGUAGCGGUGAAAUGCGUAGAUAUCAGGAGGAACACCGGUGGCGAAGGCGGCUAUCUGGACAGAGUCUGACGCUGAGGCGCGAAAGCUAGGGGAGCAAACAGGAUUAGAUACCCUGGUAGUCCUAGCCCUAAACGAUGGAUACUUGGUGUAACUGGGAUUGAAUCCAGUUGUGCCGAAGCUAACGCAUUAAGUAUCCCGCCUGGGGAGUACGGUCGCAAGGCUGAAACUCAAAGGAAUUGACGGGGGCCCGCACAAGCGGUGGAGUAUGUGGUUUAAUUCGACGCAACGCGAAGAACCUUACCUGGGCUCGAACGGCUAGUGACAGGUGGCGAAAGUCGCUUUUCCCGCAAGGGACACUAGUCGAGGUGCUGCAUGGCUGUCGUCAGCUCGUGUCGUGGGAUGUUGGGUUAAGUCCCGCAACGAGCGCAACCCUUGUCUUCUGUUGCCAUCAGGUCAAGCUGGGCACUCUGAAGAGACUGCCGGUGACAAACCGGAGGAAGGUGGGGAUGACGUCAAGUCAGCAUGGCCUUUAUGUCUGGGGCCACACACGUGCUACAAUGGCAGGUACAAACCGUCGCGAGACCGCAAGGUGGAGCUAAUCGGAGAAAGCCUGUCUCAGUUCGGAUUGUCGGCUGCAACUCGCCGGCAUGAAGUUGGAAUCGCUAGUAAUCGCGGAUCAGCACGCCGCGGUGAAUACGUUCCCGGGCCUUGUACACACCGCCCGUCACAUCACGAAAGCUGGCUGUACUAGAAGUUGCCGCGCUAACCCGCAAGGGAGGCAGGUGCCUAAGGUAUGGUCAGUGAUUGGGGUG